UACGUAGGGGCCUAGCGUUGUCCGGAAUUAUUGGGCGUAAAGAGCUCGUAGGCGGUUCGGCAAGUCGGAUGUGAAAUCUCCACGCUUAACGUGGAGGGGCCAUUCGAAACUGCUGUGACUCGAGUCCGGUAGGGGAGUGUGGAAUUCCCGGUGUAGCGGUGAAAUGCGCAGAUAUCGGGAGGAACACCAGUAGCGAAGGCGGCACUCUGGGCCGGAACUGACGCUGAGAAGCGAAAGCGUGGGGAGCGAACAGG
rnacentral:rRNA from 1 species